UACAGAGGUCUCAAGCGUUUGUUCGGAAUUACUGGGCGUAAAGGGUGCGCAGGCCGCGCGGGCAGUCAAAUGUGAAAUUCUGGGGCUCAACCUCAGGAUUGCGCUUGAUACUUCCGUGCUAGAACUUUGGAGAGGGAUCGUGGAAUUCUCGGUGUAGCAGUGAAAUGCGUGGAUAUCGAGAAGAACGACUAACGGCGUAGGCAAGAUCCUGGACAAAUGUUGACGCUCAUGCACGAAGGCUAGGGGAGCGAACGGG
rnacentral:rRNA from 1 species